GAGAAGGCCUUGCUGGCCCUGACGGCCCACCACUGUGAAUGUGGUACCUUCAGGUGUUUGGAAAUUGCUCCCAAGGAUGAACCUGACUUGUGGAAGUCCACCAUUUUUUGGCUGAUUUCUUUUGAUGUUCCCAUGAUGUCAAGCAAAGAGGCACUGAGUUUGAAGAUUACACAGCCACAGCUUUCCCAUUUUGACAACAGAAGCCGGCCCGGUGAGAGAAAUCAAUAGGGUCUGGCGCUCUAAGGAUCCAGCUGUCGUCUCCCUUGAGGGAAGUAUUCAACUUCAUGGUCCAAACCACCUGCGCUCUAUUGACUUCUACAACACACAAGCACACUCAUUCUGCGUUGAUAUACCGCUGUUGCUCAUGAUGGAGAAGUGAUGUUUUACAUAUAGGCUAGUGUACAGUUUUUUGAAUCAUGGAGGUCUACACACCCUUGGUGGUCAUGGUCCAGGUCUCUGCUUCCAGUUGAACAACCUAUUGAAACAAAGAACAUGGACAUUGGCUAAUUGGUUGGGUAUAGUAUGUACAGAACAGAAGUUUUUUCCAACUAGAAAUCACAUUACUCAGUAGAGCCCUGGGGAAAAUAUAUAGAGCUUUGAUUAUGUCAGUCAUUCAUAUUCUUAGCAUGACUUCACACACAAUUUAUGGGCCAACAUGAAUUCUAUGACUCUAAAUGAUAAAGAAAAUGUAUGCUUAAUUCAGUAUAAACUAAUGUAUAGAAUUUAUUAUACAAGAGACAAAAUUCACAAAUUCUACAGCACAACGGCAGAGACAUGUCUUAAGUGUAAAACGAACAAUGACUCAAUAAUCCAUGCCUUCUGGGAAUGCUUUAAAGUCCAAACAUUAUGGGUGGAGAUAGAAAUUUGGCUGUAGUAGUAUUACAAUGUAAAUGUGCUUUUAAUCUGUCUGUCUGCAUAUUUCAAGACACGGCAUAUGAGGGUGCAGUGAGAUACCCCAAAGUGAGGAUGCUGGAAAAGUAAUGUGAUCUGUGUGGUGGAAUUAUUGUAAUCAAAAGCAGAGACCUUUAGAUUUCUUCAAAACAAUCCAACUUUAUUAUUUAAUUACUGCAGUAAUGAAGCUGGUCGGUAAUGUCACGCCCUGGCCUUAGUUAUCUUUGUUUUCUUUAUUAUUUUGGUUAGGCCAGGGUGUGACAUGGGUGAUGUAUGGCUUUUGUCUCAUCUAG